rnacentral:snoRNA from 1 species
AACUCAUGAUGAAGGAACAUUCUCAAAAGAUCCUUAAAUAUCUCUCAUGCAUCAUAUAAUGUCUCCAAAUAAAUUUAAGCAAAAGAAGAGAUGUCGUUCCUCAACUU